UAUGAAGAAAACAUGGUGUACGGUGUAA
rnacentral:sRNA from 1 species